rnacentral:rRNA from 1 species
GACAGAGGGUGCAAACGUUGUUCGGAAUUACUGGGCGUAAAGCGCGUGUAGGCGGCUUGGCAAGUCGGGUGUGAAAGCCCUGGGCUCAACCUAGGAAGUGCACUCGAAACUGCUUCGCUUGAGUACCGGAGAGGAAAGCGGAAUUCUCGGUGUAGAGGUGAAAUUCGUAGAUAUCGAGAGGAACACCGGUGGCGAAGGCGGCUUUCUGGACGGUUACUGACGCUGAGACGCGAAAGCGUGGGGAGCAAACGGG